CUUAAGGAACAGAAGUUGUGUGCAAUGCUGAAAACAAGAUUAUAUAGAGAGUGAACAGGGCGUAAAUAACGUCGGUGCUUUUCAAACUAUUCUUUAAAUUAAGCUGCACUGGUGUAUUCUAACACGAUUCUGGUGCGAAGACAUGAAGCAUCGAAGGAUACAGCAUUAAAGACCUUGUAUUCGUAAAGCGUUGAUAAAAAUAUUGAGCUAUGGGACUACAUAAACUAUAAUUGACAAUUUGGAAAAGCAAAACUUCAGAACUCUAGAGUGUCUUUGUGCGUUAAAUAUUUAUGUUUGAGAAUUCCUGUUUUUGAAUGGAAAAAUAUGUAUGUACUGUUAACUUGCAAUGAUAUUGACAUGUUUAUUCGAAAAAGUUACACACACAUACUAGUAUUGAAAAUGUUAACCUAAAAACAAAAGGUGUGCAUACAUACUUUAAUAAUCUACGAUUCGAGUUAUAACGUAGUAUAUAUGCUAAUUAAUAACGCUCGUGUGCAUAUCUAACCAGGCAAGUGAGACGGAAAAGAAAUGAGCGUCUGUUCGGCAACCGCAGCGGCAUCUCAGCGUCCCGUCGGCCGUCGGGACUCCCGUAAGUCCGCCUCCCGUUCAAGCGCCUCCGAGACGUAUUUCUGUGCGAAGAAGGGCGGAGUAGGGCAGUAUGGGCAACGAAAAUGCAGCAGUGCAUCGUCCUCAAAAUCAUCAAGUCUGGCGCUUUGCUGCGCAAUUUCUGUCGUCAUGAUUUGCAUCGGCAUUCCACAUAUUGCAUUUUUAAACUUUGUAAUAACGGCAGGAUGAAAUUGGUGAAAAAUAUGUGUUUUACUAUUAUGAACGUUUAUCUUAAGAAAAUGUGCAAAAUGUUCUGGGAUCAAUGAAGAAGAUUAACGCAAAUCUAUGUAGGCGAUCGAUGUGUUAUCCGAUAUUAUAGUACUAUAGAAACUUCAAAAUGAAUUGCAUACAUAAUUGUUAAAAAAUGUGUAGAAAAUAUGCACCGUAUUUUGCCAACAUAAUGAAAAUCAUAGCCUGUUUUAUACAAUAUGAACACAUCUUCAGUCUUUAUAAUAUUAUGUUAUUCAAGAUGAAUAAGAAGAUAAAUUGAAAAAAGUACUAUACACAUUAAAACUUGCGUUUCUUUUUUUAUGUAACAGUGCAUUAUGCCCGAUAUGUGUAAAUAUGUUUAAAAGUAAAACUUUUUUUAUAUUUAGUUUUAACAUAUUUUAUUUCACGAACAAACAUGGUAUACAUGUGCAUAGCAUUUACAAUUGCAACUGAGUCACAUAGUUCAAUUUAAUUUUAUCAUGCUUACUUCUUUUAUUAGCAUGGAGGUAUUACAUAUUGGAUUACUCAAUAGUCUGUAAAGUCUUCACAUACAUAUACAAACAUGUAUAUUAAACAUUUUUAAUUUCUCACGUGUUUGCGCUUUUUUGUGAACAGUUAAUAAAAAGACCAUUUAAAACAAGAUUUUUUUUGUUUAAAGUAUAAUCUGAUUGGUGUUUAAUACAUUUUAAUAGAAACUAAUUUCGAUACACGAAAAGUGAUACGAAUUGGUAUGUUAUCCGAAUUGAAUGUGACGAUGCAUGAAUGGAGUAUAACACUUAUAUAAUCGAUUGAAAUACAUCCCAGAUGUCCGUUUAUUCAUUUCCUACCUUGUCUGAGCAUCUAAUUAUUAUACAAAGAACUUUCAUUAGUGAAUCGUGUAUAUUAAGAACAAAUUUCCCGUGUUUCCUGCAAAAAAACGAAUCUUAUAUCUGGUGAGAACAGUAUUAGCUAUUGUAAAAUAAAACAUGUGCAAACAUGCCAUCCAUUGUUUGUUUUCGAACGACUGUCCAUUCAGAAAGCUGAACCAUCAAGAAUUCAAUAAUUAAAUACAUCUAUAAUAAUUCAUAACCAAUUGCAAUUGAGGAAGUCCGGCACUAUUUCAGAGUAACAUUUAGUAAGAAGUCUUGCCAUUUACACUUUGCUAAAUGUGGUUAAUUAACUUAGAAGUUUUAUUUAUAGCAAUAAUGAUUGAUAUUUAUCAAUAGUAUCAUAUAAUCCUUAUAUGAGAUAAUAGCAUAAACGUAGAAAGAAACAGAUCUGUAAGUACCUUGUAACUACGCAAUAAACAUUGUAUGUAUUAAUAAUGUCCAUACAUACAACGCUCUUCUGACAACACUUUAUAUUUGUGUGAACCAUAAAUUACCUUAAAACAACUAUAUGGUAUAGUUGUAUGAUAGUUUAAACAAACUUUUCCUGCAGACAAUAUCUUUUUGUAAUAAAUGUUCUCGUUCGUUUAAUUAUUUGUGUAUAUUUGCAAUAUCCUGGUAUGUAUCAAGGUUUCCUAGUUUUAUUUGCUGCCGGUUACCUUGUUAUUGAAAUUUGUUAUUCGCAUUACGCUGGCAACUGUUGUACCUCUAAUGAGUUAUAUGUUAAACAUAUGUAUAUACUGCAUAACCAUGUAAUUUGCACUCGGAAAUAAAAUCCUAUACAAUACUACAACAUCCCCGACUGUGAGUGUAUACACACGUGUGCUAUUGUACUUGAUAUUCGGUUGUAUUAUUUUAACACAAAAUAUACUAUUGUGUUAUCUUGUUUUACUUCAUUGUAUAAUAGUUCAUGUUUUAUAAUGAGCAGAAUAAUGACCUGACCGUGUGAAUGAUACUAUGUAAAGAAUGCAUAAUUUAAAAAGAAAAUGAAGAUCAUUUAGGAAUAUUUAAUAUUUUUCGACGCAUGUUUCAAAGUAGCUACACAUAAAAAGAAAACUUUAUUUAAUAUUGAUUCAUACAUCAAACAGAAGUAAAUAUGUAUGUUGGAUUUGUAUCUUUGCCCAAUUGUUUUUCGAGACUAGAUCUAGAUGACAAAGUUCGCAAAUGCCUUUUUUAUUAAAGUUAUUUACAUGUUUUAUAACCAUAUUUAAUAUUAUUAUAAAAACAUAAUUUUGAAUUUAGAGGGCUUACUUUGAUUGCAAUAUGCAAAUGUAUAUUCUCUGUCAAUAUCCGACAGCAGCGGUUACAUAGUCUAACUUUCUGUAUAAGGCUAUAUGUUAACAACAACUUGCUGCUCUUUAUUUUCAUUUUUCUCUCUAAAUAAGAACUGUAAAUGUUUUUUAAACUAAUUACAAUACCAGAUACAACGUAUGGUCAAACUAUUAGUCUAACAAUAAAUUUAUAGUUGUACACAGGAAUGUUUGUUCGAACUCAUAACGAUCAUUAUUAACUGAUGUAUGUAAUAAACUAAACAAUUUC